rnacentral:lncRNA from 1 species
UCAUAUGAUGAUUAACUGGGAAUGACUUAACUACUCUCAGCCAUAAUGAUCCAAGACAAUUCUGUCAGACUAAGGAUGAAAAAUGCUAUCCACCUCAGGAGAAAGAAUUGAUAGAAUCUGAAUGCAGACCAAAGCAUACUUUUUUUUUUAAACCCUUACCUUCCGUCUUGGAGUCAAUACUGUGUAUUGGCUCCAAGGCAGAAGAGUGGUAAGGGCUAGGCCAUGGGGGUCAAGUGACUUGCCCAGGGUCACACAGUAAAGCAUACUUUUUUUUUUGGGGGGGGGGUCUGUGUUUUCUUUCACAACAUAACUAAUAUGGAAAUUUGUUUUGUAUGACUGCACAUGUAUAAUCUAUAUCAAAUUGCCUACUUUCUCUAUGAUGGGGGUAAGAAUAAAGGAAGGGAGAGAAUUUGGAACUCAAUGUUGUUUUUUUAAUGUUAAAAAUUGGUUUUUUUAACAUGUAACUGGAAACAAAGAAAAUAUUUAAUUUUUAUAAGUACCUACUAUGUUCUAUUUAAUUAAUGUGUUAAGUGCUUUACCUAAGAAAAAAAUAGGGGGCAGCUGGGUGGCUCAGUGGAUUGAGAAGCAUGCCUAGAGAUGGGAGGUCCUAGGUUCAAAUCUGACCUCAGAUACUUCCCAGCUGUGUGGCAUUGGGCAAGUCACUUAACCCCCAUUGCCUAGCCCUUAGUGUUCUUUUGUCUUAGAAACAAUACACUUUACUGAUUCCAAGACAGAAGGUAAGGGUUUUAAGAAAAAAAAAUCCCCUUACUUUCUUUCUUAGAAUCAGUUUCAGGAAACAGUUACGAGCCUAAAGAAAAUCAGCAGCUCCACAUUGGGGGGGGGGGGGGGAGAAAAAAAUCUGGAGUUUAGGCAACUUACUUUUGAUAAGAUUAGGCAGCUAGGUAGAGCAGUGGAUAGAAUUCAGGACCUGGAGAUGGAAAGACCUGAGUUCAAAGCUGACCUCAAAUUCUUUCUAGCUGUGUGACUCUGGACAAGUCACUCAACCUAACUUCAAUUUCUCAACUGGAAAAAUGGAAAUAAAAAUAUAGUUUCUUAAUUGUUGUUGUUAGAA